AAAUAUUUGGGAAUUUUCUAGGUAUCUUCCUAUUAUUGGUUUCUAAUUUAUUCUGUGGUCAAAAAAACAGUUUGUAUAAUAUUGUCCUAUUAAAUAUAUUAAGACUUGUUUAGCAUCCCAAAACAAGGCAUAAUAAAUUCAUAAAUAUUCUAGGGGGAAAAAAGUGUAUUCUGCUAUACUGGGCGGAGCACUCUAUAACUGUCAAUUGUGUCAAGAUGGUUGAGAUUGUUAAGUAUCCUGAUUUCUGCUUACUUGUUCUACCAAGUACUAAAGUAUUUAAAUUUCAAAUUUUGAUUGUAUGGUUGUCCGUUGCUCUUUGCAAUCUUAAUAGUGUUUAUGUAUUUUUUAAGCUCUGUUAUUAAUUAUAUAAACAUUUAGAAUAUUAUAUCCUCUUGAUGAAUUGACCUCUUUAUCAUUACAAAAUUCCCUGGUAGUAUUCUCUGCUCUGAAGUCCACUCCAUCUGAUAUUAACUUAGUCACUCCAGGUUUCUUUUGAUGGAUGUAGAAUAGCCUAGCCUUUUCUUUCUUUUUCACUUUUAUCUUACUCAUGGCUUUAUAUUUAAAGUAGGUUUUUUGUAAGCAGCAUAUAAUUAAGUCUUUUUUGAUUGUUUUAGGGUAGCAACUGUGGCAUAUGCAAUUUCCUGGGUUAGGGGUUGAAGUAGCCAGAUCAGAGUCAUGUCUGUGACCUACACCACAGCUCAGCUCACUGCAACGCAGAUCCUUAACCCACUGAGCGAGGCCAGGGAUCGAACCCAUGUCCUCAUGGAUAUUAGUCAGGUUCAUUAUCACUGAGCCACAACGGGAAAUCCAAGUCUUAUUUUUUAAAUCCAAUCUAUUUCUGGCUUUUAAUUGGUAUAUUUAGGCCAUUUACACUGAUGUGAGGUUUUUAGAUCGUAGAUAGUUUUCUAUUCAUACCAUCGUUCUUUGUUCUCCUUUUCCAUCACACUGGGAUCACUAUCUUCUAUUAUUCCACGUCCAAUAUCCUGAAAAUAGACUGUUUAUAUAUGUGUCUAUUUUUCCUUGGCUUGUUUAUUUCAGGUAAAAGAAUGAACCUAGUCUCUGUAACUCUAUGUUGCCCCAAAAUGGAAGUCCGUGGCAUCCACUUAAUAAACAAAAAAUUUAUUGUAUAAAAUCUGGGAAAAACAACCAUAACUGAUGAGCAGAUAAACAAAUUAUGGUAUGGCCAUGUCAUCAACAACAACAAAAAAAAUCUGAUAAAUACUAAAAUAUAGAUGAAAGCACCACUCUAACUGGAAGAAACCGGACACAAAGUUACUUAAUGUAGGAUUCCAUUUAUACAAAAUUCUAGAAGAGGAAAGUAAAAUGACAAAGCGGAACACUGGUAGUCAAGUUGAAGAGGGAGAGGGAAUGUACUGACUGCAAAAGAACAUACAAAAAACUUUUGAGAUGUGGAAAAAUACUCUAUAUCUUGAUUGCAUGGUGGUUAUGUGACUCUAGAUGUACAUUUGUAGAAAACUCAUUCAGUUGUACACUUAAAAUUAUUGAAUAUUAUUUUAGAUUAAUUAUAAAUUACACCUCAAUAGCUAAUUUUUAAAUGCUUUCAAGACCAACAGAAAGGAACAAUAGAAAAAUUCUAGUAUAUAAAGGAUCAUAUCAAUCCACAAGAAAAUCACCAACAUUCCAAAGAAAAGAGGGCUAAAUAAAAAACAUAAAGCUCUUGGGAAAUGAACGAUGCAAAACACUCAGUGCUAGUGAGGGAAGGAUGAACUAAACACUACCAAACACUUCUAGUGGAAAUAUGACUUGGCACAACUUCCUGGAAAGAAUUCAUUUUUCCAAGUUUAUGUUUAUACCACUGAAUAUUUCCUUCAAAGACUGUCCUAUGUGUGGGGUGUCUGGAGAAGUCUUAAACUAUUCCUACUUUUUGACCUAGUACAUCCAUACAUAGGACACUCUUUGAAGAAAAUAUUCAGAGGUAUAAACAUAUACUUGGAAAAAUGAAUGUCCAAAGCACAAUAGAGCCACAAAUAGCAUGAAAAAUUAAAAUUUAAUAUUAAAUGUAUUUAUUACUUUAAUACCAUAUAAUUCAUCUUUUUAAUAAUUCAUCUUUUUCAAGGUAUUCUCAUGAUCAUAAAAAAUUGUAUUUACAAAGAAUUGAAAUGAUGUGAAAAUGGUAUUGAUAUAAUAUGAAAUGAAUAACAAACAGGACACAUAGGUAUUUAAUUUCAUUUUUAUUAUCUGUAGUGACAUUAAUAUCGUGUGUUUGAAAGUCUCUAGGGAAAUAUACCACAAAGUUAAAAGUGUUAUUUCUAGUUGGUGGAAUUACAGGUCAUUUUUUUUUCUUCUUAUAAGCUUUUCUGAGUUUUUACAUCUUCUAUGUUAAUUCUACAUUCCUUAUGAAAGCAAAAUAAGAUAAACGUAUAUGUAUAUAUAAAUAUUUAAAUAUUGGUAAUCUCAAAUAAGAAACAGAAAAUUAGUCAAAGUUUGAUUGCUUUAAGGAAAUAAGUGAGAAUAUGUUCCCACCCCCCGUUAGGAAUAAAUUGCACUCUUUUUAAAGCAUAUCAAUUUCUUAUAAGCCACUGUCAUUAUAUAUACAACAGAUUGCAAGUUCUAUGCUUUCUCAAAAAAAAUUUUUUUUUUUACAUCUAACAUUUGCUGAUUCACAACUCUAUAAAGAUUAAAUGUAAGACCUUAGGGAAUCUAGUAUCUACAAGUCAAAAUCCCUUCCCUCAAGUCUUCUGAGGAAAGCUAGUUUAGAGAGUUCCAAUUGGAAAGCUGAAUAAGAUAUUAGUAGACCACAGCUGCCCUGAGAUUAAAAGAAAGAAAAAGAGUACAUCCAUUUACUUAUUCACUGUUUCACUGAAGAAAUAUUUACUGAAUACUUACCAGUUUCAAUCACUGUUUAACAUCUUGAUUUCACAGUAGUUAACAAAAUAGAUGUAAUCCCUGCCCUGAAAGUGAUUAGGCCAUUAACAAAUAGAGAAGGAAAUAUGUGAAACAAUUUGUAUUGAAGAAGAAACAAGCUAAAUUCAAUGAGAAAGUAAUGUAAAGAAGAAGAGCGUGAGAGAAUAGCAAAAUAGAUGAAAGAAUCAUGAAAGACUUCUCUGGGGAGGCAUCAUUUGAGUGGAGACUAAAGAAUGAAAAUGAAGUCAUCAUGCAAAGACAGAGGACCUUUAACCAAACCUGAGCUUGUGGUGUCUGUCCCUGGUAGUGAAACACCGGUGUAGUUAUAGACAGCAGGCAAGUAGCAGAGCAGAACACAGGAAGUUGGGAGAUGAGAUAGGGACUAGAUCAUGCAGAGUUUUAAACUUCUCAACAAUCAGAACAGACUGAAACCUGAGCCUCAUAUUUACAUUUUUGUCCUCUUUAAAAGGCAUUUAGCAAACAUGAAUUUCAAGAGGCAUUCUUGGAAAUGUUUAGGCAACUACAUGCACAAGAUGCUACAAGGACUUGAGCCAACUUAGACAUUCCAUUUGUUUUCUGUAUAGAACAGCAACAAUAGAGAAUAACAGGAUUCUUGUGAAGAAAACUUAAGGUGAGAUAUGCCGUGUACAGAGAAGGUAUUACUGUUCUGCAAAAAAGCAACAAUCAGUUGAGAAAGAGCAGAGGGAUCUUUUGUAUUAGAAAUAUAAAUUUAUUAGCAUUCAAUAACAUCCAAGUAGAGCUAUCAAAAAUAGCACUUCAGCACUGAUUCAGAACUGUAGGGUGCACUAUCAGCAUAAUUAAAAAGAAAGAAUCCAAGCCAUUUUCCCAACUUGCUUCCUUAUUAUUGUCUAAUUGUUCAGAAUGUCUGUCUGUUAUGGAGACAAAGCAAUUAAACCCAGCAAGUCGCAACAAUGGGGAUCAUAAAGCAGGGGUCUGCUUCAUUAGCAACUUGGAUAUCAGCAUAGAAAACAUUAAAGAAAGAAACGUAAUUGUAAUUGGAAAUAAUUGGAUAGCGCAGUUCGUUUAGCCUAGGAAGAUAUGCUAUCUGCCUUUGAAGGCUUUUUUUCAUCCCCUUUUAUGGGUUUUUCACAUGCGCUCUUUAAAUUGAGUUCCAUAAACAUCAUGGUAUCAUAGUUGAGGCACCAAGGGGCUUAGUGAGUACCAGACUCUUUUCCACAUAAGGGCACCUAUCCUCUGGGAAUCCAAAAGAAUUGUAUUUCAUGUUAACUGCCAACUGGCCCAGGAAGAAAAGAAAGGGGUCAAUGCUUCCGUUAAACACAAAUUGCCAUAAUUAAACCUCCUGUGUCUCUCACCCCACUUCUGAAAAAUACAGAGGUAUCUUCCAAAAACACAAGAUCUCUUGGAAAUAUAUUUUAAAAUAGUGAUCAUCCUUAAUAUAUUUGUAAUGCAAAAAAAAACUAUGUUACAAGCAGAAAGAAUCACAGACAUUUUUAGAUCUGGGAUUGACCAUAAUUUCCAAAGCCUCAUCAUUUAAAAGCUGAGGCUCAGAGAGGAGCCUGACAUGUCCCAUGCAAAAGCAAGUAGAAGAAUCAGAAGUAGAAAAUAUAAGUUCUCUAUUAAUAACAAUAUAAGGAUAAUCACAGCUACAAUAUACUCUAUUAAUACUAUAUAGUAGACACUAUGUUACAUUUCACAUACAUUGCAUCAUUUUAAUCCCAUAAAGUACAGGAAUUAUGAAUUCUAUAGAUAAGAAGACUAGUGCUCAGAGAGGUUAUACAACUUGAUUUACUGUCAUGUAAAACUGAGAUUUGAACAUGGCUGUGUCUGAUUAUGAAGCACAUCCAUGUAACUACCAAAUGAUCCCACCUCCAUAUACCAAGGGAAAAACACUAAGUAAUGUGUCCUAUUGUCCCUGUCACCAAAUCAGAAGU
rnacentral:lncRNA from 1 species